CUGCAGCGCGUCUGCACCAUUGGCCCUCGUCGGCCCUCGUCGGCCGACCGGAAGCCGUCGCCUCAUGAGGAGAGAAACGGAAAUGAGCAGAGUAGGCAGUGGACACAGUACAGAGGGCGCAAACAUAACCUUAUUUUGAAGUUUCAGUUAUCAUUUCAGAGGAUUUUUGUCCCUGCUGGGAAACAGGGGCCUGCAUCUCACCGCGUCUGUCCGUCUGGCUGUCGGCGCGUCGGUCGGCGGGUCUGUGCCUGGAGGCAGAUUGGGGCCACAGCAGAAUAUCUCCAUAUUUAUCCGGACAAUCGCCGUGAUAUUUGGUGACAACAUUCAUGCCAGCUAGAGGAUGAAACCUGGCAAUUUUGGUGACCCAGUGACCUUCCCUGCAGCGCCACCAGCGGGGCAUGUGCGCUCUGGAUAAUGCGCUAUUUUUUUUUUUUAAUUAAUAUUAAUAUUAUUAUUACUGUAAUUGCAAGGACAUGGCCAACUGGACUCAGGAGGCCGAGGAGCACCUGGUUACCAUGGUGGAGGAGAGGCCGGCUCUGUACGACAUCAGGGAGAGUUUGUACACCAACAAAGUGGUCAAAGCGGACCUGUGGCGGCAGAUUGAGAAUAAACUUGUGAUAUCAGAGAAAUUUCUCAAAAAGCGGUGGGAGUCUCUGCGCACUCAAUACACCCGGUACAAGAAACUUCCUCCCUCUGGGAGUGGAGGAGCACAGAGGACCGGCAGGCAGCAGUGGAUCCUGACCCGCCUGCAGUUUUUAGAGCCCCACACCAAAAAGAAGGACACCACUCACAACCCUGCUCCCAUGAUUUGGGGGCACCUGUUGAUUUAGAUACCCGGGCAGACGACACCAGCAGCUUUAAUAUCGAGGUGCUAUCGAGUCCGCCCCACUGUGAGACCCGGUCGAGCACCCCUGUAGAGGAACCUUGCGUCUCUGAGGCGGCGCCAGUACCUUACGCCCACAUGGCCACAUCCAGUAUCUCUAGAUCUGAGCCUACAACAAUACCUUUCAGUGAGGAGCCUUGCCAAACCACCAAGAGAGAUUCAAGCACCUCUGUGCCUCCGACAAAGCGGCGCAGGAAGAUGCUGGAAGAGCCUGUCAGUUGGGAAUCCACAAACUUGAUGCGCAUUAUUGGUAAAACCCUGGAGAGAUUAGGUUCCCGGGAAGAGCAAGACGAUGAGAUCUCUGCCUACUGCAAGAACAUUGAGUGCAGAAUGCGGAAAUUGCCCCGACACGUACUGCCACAUUUUGAGCACGAGGUGGACAUCUGCCUUUACAAAUACCUGGUGGGCCAGAGUCCAGGUAAUCACUCAGGCCCAGGAUGCACUGCAGACCAGCCCGAGGUGUUUCCAUGCUCCCUGCCCCACAUGUGCCUGAACAGGGGUAAAUGAUCAGCUUGGGGAGCUGGGGAAGGGAGCAGGGAAAGGUGGAGGUGGAGGAGGCUCGGUGAGGGA